UGUGAGCUCGAUGAGUAGGGCGGGACACGUGGUAUCCUGUCUGAAUAUGGGGGGACCAUCCUCCAAGGCUAAAUACUCCUGACUGACCGAUAGUGAACCAGUACCGUGAGGGAAAGGCGAAAAGAACCCCGGCGAGGGGAGUGAAAAAGAACCUGAAACCGUGUACGUACAAGCAGUGGGAGCCUCUUUAUGGGGUGACUGCGUACCUUUUGUAUAAUGGGUCAGCGACUUAUAUUCUGUAGCAAGGUUAACCGAAUAGGGGAGCCGAAGGGAAACCGAGUCUUAACUGGGCGUUAAGUUGCAGGGUAUAGACCCGAAACCCGGUGAUCUAGCCAUGGGCAGGUUGAAGGUUGGGUAACACUAACUGGAGGACCGAACCGACUAAUGUUGAAAAAUUAGCGGAUGACUUGUGGCUGGGGGUGAAAGGCCAAUCAAACCGGGAGAUAGCUGGUUCUCCCCGAAAGCUAUUUAGGUAGCGCCUCGUGAAUUCAUCUCCGGGGGUAGAGCACUGUUUCGGCAAGGGGGUCAUCCCGACUUACCAACCCGAUGCAAACUGCGAAUACCGGAGAAUGUUAUCACGGGAGACACACGGCGGGUGCUAACGUCCGUCGUGAAGAGGGAAACAACCCAGACCGCCAGCUAAGGUCCCAAAGUCAUGGUUAAGUGGGAAACGAUGUGGGAAGGCCCAGACAGCCAGGAUGUUGGCUUAGAAGCAGCCAUCAUUUAAAGAAAGCGUAAUAGCUCACUGGUCGAGUCGGCCUGCGCGGAAGAUGUAACGGGGCUAAACCAUGCACCGAAGCUGCGGCAGCGACGCUUAUGCGUUGUUGGGUAGGGGAGCGUUCUGUAAGCCUGUGAAGGUGUGCUGUGAGGCAUGCUGGAGGUAUCAGAAGUGCGAAUGCUGACAUAAGUAACGAUAAAGCGGGUGAAAAGCCCGCUCGCCGGAAGACCAAGGGUUCCUGUCCAACGUUAAUCGGGGCAGGGUGAGUCGACCCCUAAGGCGAGGCCGAAAGGCGUAGUCGAUGGGAAACAGGUUAAUAUUCCUGUACUUGGUGUUACUGCGAAGGGGGGACGGAGAAGGCUAUGUUGGCCGGGCGACGGUUGUCCCGGUUUAAGCGUGUAGGCUGAUUUUCCAGGCAAAUCCGGAAAAUCAAGGCUGAGGCGUGAUGACGAGGCACUACGGUGCUGAAGCAACAAAUGCCCUGCUUCCAGGAAAAGCCUCUAAGCAUCAGGUAACAUCAAAUCGUACCCCAAACCGACACAGGUGGUCAGGUAGAGAAUACCAAGGCGCUUGAGAGAACUCGGGUGAAGGAACUAGGCAAAAUGGUGCCGUAACUUCGGGAGAAGGCACGCUGAUAUGUAGGUGAAGCGACUUGCUCGUGGAGCUGAAAUCAGUCGAAGAUACCAGCUGGCUGCAACUGUUUAUUAAAAACACAGCACUGUGCAAACACGAAAGUGGACGUAUACGGUGUGACGCCUGCCCGGUGCCGGAAGGUUAAUUGAUGGGGUUAGCGGCAACGCGAAGCUCUUGAUCGAAGCCCCGGUAAACGGCGGCCGUAACUAUAACGGUCCUAAGGUAGCGAAAUUCCUUGUCGGGUAAGUUCCGACCUGCACGAAUGGCGUAAUGAUGGCCAGGCUGUCUCCACCCGAGACUCAGUGAAAUUGAACUCGCUGUGAAGAUGCAGUGUACCCGCGGCAAGACGGAAAGACCCCGUGAACCUUUACUAUAGCUUGACACUGAACAUUGAGCCUUGAUGUGUAGGAUAGGUGGGAGGCUUUGAAGUGUGGACGCCAGUCUGCAUGGAGCCGACCUUGAAAUACCACCCUUUAAUGUUUGAUGUUCUAACGUUGGCCCGUAAUCCGGGUUGCGGACAGUGUCUGGUGGGUAGUUUGACUGGGGCGGUCUCCUCCUAAAGAGUAACGGAGGAGCACGAAGGUUGGCUAAUCCUGGUCGGACAUCAGGAGGUUAGUGCAAUGGCAUAAGCCAGCUUGACUGCGAGCGUGACGGCGCGAGCAGGUGCGAAAGCAGGUCAUAGUGAUCCGGUGGUUCUGAAUGGAAGGGCCAUCGCUCAACGGAUAAAAGGUACUCCGGGGAUAACAGGCUGAUACCGCCCAAGAGUUCAUAUCGACGGCGGUGUUUGGCACCUCGAUGUCGGCUCAUCACAUCCUGGGGCUGAAGUAGGUCCCAAGGGUAUGGCUGUUCGCCAUUUAAAGUGGUACGCGAGCUGGGUUUAGAACGUCGUGAGACAGUUCGGUCCCUAUCUGCCGUGGGCGCUGGAGAACUGAGGGGGGCUGCUCCUAGUACGAGAGGACCGGAGUGGACGCAUCACUGGUGUUCGGGUUGUCAUGCCAAUGGCACUGCCCGGUAGCUAAAUGCGGAAGAGAUAAGUGCUGAAAGCAUCUAAGCACGAAACUUGCCCCGAGAUGAGUUCUCCCUGACUCCUUGAGAGUCCUGAAGGAACGUUGAAGACGACGACGUUGAUAGGCCGGGUGUGUAAGCGCAGCGAUGCGUUGAGCUAACCGGUACUAAUGAACCGUGAGGCUUAACCUU
rnacentral:rRNA from 1 species